UACGUAGGGUCCGAGCGUUGUCCGGAAUUACUGGGCGUAAAGAGCUCGUAGGUGGUUUGUCGCGUUGUUCGUGAAAACUCACAGCUUAACUGUGGGCGUGCGGGCGAUACGGGCAGACUUGAGUACUGCAGGGGAGACUGGAAUUCCUGGUGUAGCAGUGAAAUGCGCAGAUAUCGGGAAGAACACCCGUGGCGAAGGCGGCUCUCUGGGACGGUACUGACGCUGAGACGCGAAAGCGUGGGGAGCGAACAGG
rnacentral:rRNA from 1 species